rnacentral:rRNA from 1 species
UACAGAGGUCUCAAGCGUUGUUCGGAUUCAUUGGGCGUAAAGGGUGCGUAGGUGGCGCUGUAAGUCGGGUGUGAAAUUUCGGAGCUUAACUCCGAAACUGCAUUCGAUACUGGCGUGCUUGAGGACUGGAGAGGAGACUGGAAUUUACGGUGUAGCAGUGAAAUGCGUAGAUAUCGUAAGGAAGACCAGUGGCGAAGGCGGGUCUCUGGACAGUUCCUGACACUGAGACACGAAGGCCAGGGGAGCAAACGGG